CACGUAGGGAGCAAGCGUUGUCCGGAUUUAUUGGGCGUAAAGAGCUCGUAGGUGGCUUAGUAAGUCGGGUGUGAAACCUCCAGGCUCAACCUGGAGACGCCACCCGAUACUGCUAUAGCUUGAGUCCGGUAGGGGAGCGUGGAAUUCCUGGUGUAGCGGUGAAAUGCGCAGAUAUCAGGAGGAACACCAGCGGCGAAGGCGGCGCUCUGGGCAUGAUCUGACGCUGAGGAGCGAAAGUGUGGGGAGCGAACAGG
rnacentral:rRNA from 1 species